rnacentral:rRNA from 1 species
ACUCCUACGGGAGGCAGCAGUGGGGAAUAUUGGACAAUGGGCGCAAGCCUGAUCCAGCCAUGCCGCGUGAGUGAUGAAGGCCCUAGGGUUGUAAAGCUCUUUCACCGGUGAAGAUAAUGACGGUAACCGGAGAAGAAGCCCCGGCUAACUUCGUGCCAGCAGCCGCGGUAAUACGAAGGGGGCUAGCGUUGUUCGGAUUUACUGGGCGUAAAGCGCACGUAGGCGGACUAUUAAGUCAGGGGUGAAAUCCCGGGGCUCAACCCCGGAACUGCCUUUGAUACUGGUAGUCUUGAGUUCGAGAGAGGUGAGUGGAAUUCCGAGUGUAGAGGUGAAAUUCGUAGAUAUCCGGAGGAACACCAGUGGCGAAGGCGGCUCACUGGCUCGAUACUGACGCUGAGGUGCGAAAGCGUGGGGAGCAAACAGGAUUAGAAACCCUUGUAGUCCCAUGA